AUUGAACGCUGGCGGCAUGCUUUACACAUGCAAGUCGAACGGUAACAGGCCGCCAGGUGCUGCCGAGUGGCGAACGGGUGAGUAAUGCAUCGGAACGUGCCCAGUCGUGGGGGAUAACUACUCGAAAGAGUAGCUAAUACCGCAUACGAUCUAUGGAUGAAAGCGGGGGACCGUAAGGCCUCGCGCGAUUGGAGCGGCCGAUGUCAGAUUAGGUAGUUGGUGGGGUAAAGGCUCACCAAGCCAACGAUCUGUAGCUGGUCUGAGAGGACGACCAGCCACACUGGGACUGAGACACGGCCCAGACUCCUACGGGAGGCAGCAGUGGGGAAUUUUGGACAAUGGGCGCAAGCCUGAUCCAGCAAUGCCGCGUGCAGGAAGAAGGCCUUCGGGUUGUAAACUGCUUUUGUACGGAACGAAACGGCUCUGGUUAAUACCCGGGGCUAAUGACGGUACCGGAAGAAUAAGCACCGGCUAACUACGUG
rnacentral:rRNA from 1 species